GUCAGUGGCUCAGUUGGAAAAGCACCACUCAUGCAAGGUGGAGGUCACAGGUUCAAUCCCUGGUGUUGCCA